GCAAUCGUGGCCGAGUGGUUAAGGCGAUGGGCUAGAAAUCCAUUGGGGUCUCCCCGCACAGGUUCGAAUCCUGUCGACUGCG
rnacentral:tRNA from 1 species